CUAUCUCGCUGGAGUCCCUUCUCCUCCUCCCAGGGCUCCCCAGCGACCGGCAAGCCUGCAGACUCCUCCUCCCACUGCAGGCUUUCUUCAGACACCCGCCGGUCCUCCCCCGGCGGGUGUCGUCG
rnacentral:sRNA from 1 species